GUGUCCUACGGGGCGCAGCAGUGAGGAAUAUUGGUCAAUGGGCGGGAGCCCGAACCAGCCAAGUCGCGUGAGGGAAGACGGUCCUACGGAUUGUAAACCUCUUUUGCCGGGGAGCAACGGGGUCCUUGCGAGGUCCCAAUGAGAGUACCCGGAGAAAAAGCAUCGGCUAACUCCGUGCCAGCAGCCGAGGUAAUACGGAGGAUGCGAGCGUUAUCCGGAUUUAUUGGGUUUAAAGGGUGCGUAGGCGGGCUGUUAAGUCAGCGGUCAAAUGUAUGGGCUCAACCCCGGCCUGCCGUUGAAACUGG
rnacentral:rRNA from 1 species